rnacentral:rRNA from 1 species
AUUAACGCUUGCGACGUGCCUAAGGUAUGCAAGUCGAACGGUUCUAAUUGAGUGCUUGCACUUGAUUAAAAUAGUGGCAAACGGCUGAGUAAUACAUGGGAACAUCCCCUUAAGCCUGGCAUAGCUCACCGAAAGGUGGGGUAAUUCCAGAUAGUCCCUUCGGGGUAAAGACCUAAUUUAUUUUAGGGCACUUAAGGAUUGGCCCGUGUCCUAUCAGAUUGUUGGUAAGGUAAUGGCUUACCAAGUCUAUGACGGGUAGCUGGCCUCAGAGGGUGGUCAGCCAGACUGGGACUGAGAUACGGCCCAGACUCCUACGGGAGGCAGCAACUAGGAAUUAUGCACAAUGGACGAAAGUCUGAUGCUGCGACGUCGCGUGGAGGGUGAAGAUCUUAGGAUUGUAAACUCCUUUUAUUAGGGAACAAGUUCUGAGUGUACCUAAUGAAUAAGUGCCUGCCAACCACGUGCCAGAAGCAUCGGUAAUACGUGGGACACAAGCGUUAUCCGGAUUUACUGGGCGUAAAGAGAUGCGUAGGCGUCUUCUUAAGUUACUCGUCAAAUCUUUCGAUUCAAUCGAAAAACCGCGAGUGAUACUGAGUAGAUUGAGUAAAGUAGGGAAGAGGGGAAUUCCUGGUGGAGAGGUUAAAUUCGUUGAUAUCAGGAGGAAUACCAAUAGCGAAGGCACCUCUUUGGACUUUUACUGACGCUAAGGCUCGAAAGUGUGGGGAGCAAAACGGAUUAGAUACCCGUGUAGUCCACACCGUAAACAAUCCUCGUUAGAUGUUUUCUCUAUCUUAGAUUUCUUUCUUCGGAAAGGGAAAUGAGAUUGGAGGGAGUGUCGCAGCUAACGCGUUAAACGGGGCGCCUGGGGAGUACGGUCGCAAGACUAAAACUCAAAGGAAUUGACGGGGACCCGCACAAGCAGUGGAGUGCCUGGUUUAAUUCGAUGAUCAGCGAAGAACCUCACCUGGGCUUGAACUGUAGCUGCAAAUCUCAUGAAAGUGGGAAUCCUUCGAGGGUGCUACAGAGGUGCUGCAUGGCUGUCGUCAGCUCGUGUCGUGAGAUGUAGGGUUAAGUCCCACAACGAGCGCAACCCCUAUUCGAUGUUAAAAUUACUUCGAGCGCUGCCUCGCCAAAACGAGGAGGAAGGAGGGGAUGAUGUCCAGUCAUCAUAUCCCUUAUGUCCAGGGCUACACAGACACUACAAUGGUCAGUACAAUGGGUUGCCAAACCGCGAGGUGGAGCUAAUCCCAUCAAAAGUGACCUCAGUUCAGAUUGCAGGCUGCAACUCGCCUGCAUGAAGUCGGAAUUGCUAGUAAUCGUGCAUCAGCAUGGCACGGUGAAUACGUUCUCGGGUCUUGUACACACCGCCCGUCAGGGCAUGGGAGUUGCUCUUACUCGAAGUCCUUGUUUAUCAAGGCCGAAAGUUAAGGGUAGCGACUGGGCUU